rnacentral:rRNA from 1 species
GAUGAACGCUAGCGACAGGCCUAACACAUGCAAGUCGAGGGGCAGCACGAGGUAGCAAUACUAGGGUGGCGACCGGCGGACGGGUGAGUAACACGUAUGCAACCUGCCCGUAAUCGGGGGAUAACCCGGAGAAAUUCGGACUAACACUCCAUGUAUCUGUAUUAUUGCAUGAUAAAACAGAAAAACGCAAGGAUUACGGAUGGGCAUGCGGAUGAUUAGCUGGUUGGCGGGGUAACGGCCCACCAAGGCGACGAUCAUUAGGGGUUCUGAGAGGAAGGUCCCCCACAUUGGAACUGAGAAACGGUCCAAACUCCUACGGGAGGCAGCAGUGAGGAAUAUUGGUCAAUGGGCGAGAGCCUGAACCAGCCAAGUCGCGUGAAGGAAGAAGGUUUUCGGAUUGUAAACCUCUGUUCUUGGGGAAGAGGAAGAGACGGUACCCAAGGAGGAAGCCCCGGCUAACUACGUG